CAGAGUGUAAGUAUUAGGGUUGUUGUCAGUUCAAAGUGAAAUUCCUGUAAAAUACUAUUGAGAGUAGACUAAUAUAAUAAAAGAAUGAUAGAAUUUUUUGGAGAUUUUUACCAAAGCUUAACACAUAAGUACGACUGUUAUAUGUAAACUUUAGCUAGCAAUUCCUUCCUGAAAUAUUUACUAAACCUGAAGGUUGCUUCACAUGGGGAUCACAGAUGGGAUCAGACAGAGCCAGAUGGGUCCAAAACAUUUUGGCAUUACUCCUGGACUCUUGGAAGAUAACACUAGUAAUUACUAACAGUAAAACAGUGUCAUGUUUGGAAUAGGAGGAGGACUGAUUUGUAGUUCAGGCAGCCCGAAGACAGACAGCACCUCUAAACUAAACUAAUUUUCUGGAACAAGGUCAAUAUCUACAGCCACACACAGUCACUGCGGAAUAAGGAAUUGGGAACAUUUGGGUUAGUUAGCAUCUAAAAGGAAUCAUUUAGAAACCAGCUCAAAUUAUUACAACAGACAGAAGGCUACGAUAUCUUGUGAAAUGAUCAGAUUAAAGCAUAAAAUGUCAAAAUAAUGGAGAAGGGUCAUUUGGUCUUUCACACUGGCCCUUCAUUACCUUGUGCACAAUCACUAAAUCUAAUUGACA